AGCGAACGCUGGCGGCAGGCCUAACACAUGCAAGUCGAACGGAUCCUUCGGGAUUAGUGGCGGACGGGUGAGUAACCCGUGGGAACGUGCCCUUUGGUUCGGAACAACUCAGGGAAACUUGAGCUAAUACCGGAUGUGCCCUUCGGGGGAAAGAUUUAUCGCCAUUGGAGCGGCCGGCGUCUGAUUAGCUAGUUGGUGAGGUAACGGCCCACCAAGGCGACGAUCAGUAGCUGGUCUGAGAGGAUGAUCAGCCACACUGGGACUGAGACACGGCCCAGACUCCUACGGGAGGCAGCAGUGGGGAAUCUUGCGCAAUGGGCGAAAGCCUGACGCAGCCAUGCCGCGUGAAUGAUGAAGGUCUUAGGAUUGUAAAAUUCUUUCAGCGGGGACGAUAAUGACGGUACCCGCAGAAGAAGCUCCGGCUAACUUCGUG
rnacentral:rRNA from 1 species